GGAUAACCCAGCCAUAAAAACAUACUCUUGUAUUCUAAGAUUAGUCUCAAAGGAUAAGAUAUUGUUACUAUCUUGUGAAAAUAAAUCUAAUUGUUGCCUUGAAUGUAUCCUGGAUAGAAUGUUGUAUCUGAUGGUGUCAUCUCCUAGGGUCUGAGGUUUUAACACUAAGAAAAAUGUUCUUGUUUUCUUAUAUUUUCAUGACAAAAUAGCAUUCUUGUGAAAAGUACUAGAUUACAAAAAAGGGAGAGAGAAGCAGGGAGAGGGGAGAAGACUCUCACCCAGAAUGUCAGAUUUCAGGAAGAUAUCCUAAUGGCCUGAAUCUGUACAUUUCUCUGUGGAGGUGUGGCUUCCACAGUGUGUCUGUCUACAGUGAGCCGUGGAAUAAUUAUACAAAUUGCACUGACUCAUUUUACUCAGGUAAACUCAACCCUUAAAAACUAGGAAGUGCUUCCAAUUUGACCACAAAUCUAUUCUUUAAAGAUCUUUGAGAAAAUCAUUUUUUUUUCUUCUUCAAGUUGUAGCA